ACUGCUUAGAGGUUAAGCCCGAUGAACCUGAAUAUCCAUUAUGGAAAAUUCAUCACUAAUUUUAAAAUAUAAAUAAUAUUAAAAGAAAAAAAGUGUGCAAUUUUUCCAUAUAAGGACAUUGUAAUCUGUUAAUGUAAUAAAUAUUUAUCAAAAGAUCUAUUACUAAAGUUUAUUUGAAUUAGUUAUUUUCGGAUUUCUAACAUAAAAUAAUUGUUUUAGAUUUGAUAAAUCAUUGACAGAUAUAAUUAUAUAAUGUGCUGAAAUUCUUCUGGAAUUUUAUAAUGGUAUUUAAAUCUAUUGAUUUAUUUAUUUAAUUAUAUGCGCUAUUAUGAUUAACAAUGCGAUAGAUUCAGGAUACCUUCGGGACCCGUCUUGAAACACGGACCAAGGAGUCUAACAUAUGUGCAAGUCAUUGGGUAUUUUUAAUAAAACCCAAUGGCAUAAUUAACUUAACUGAUAUUAAUAAUGGGAUUAAUUUAUGAUUUGUUAUGAAUUGUUUAUUCAAUCCCGGGGCGUUCUAUAUAGUUAUGCAUAAUGAUAUUUAUAUUAUUUAUGCCUCUAACUAGAGC
rnacentral:rRNA from 1 species